UUUGUAGCUUAUUUAAUCUACUUGUUUCUCUCCACAGCAAGACAGAUCGGCUUGCCAAAGGAUCAGAAUGUUACCAAAAGAGCCUUAGUUUAAAUCUUUCCUCUGGUCUCCUUUUGAAUCAUUAUGUGAAAUAGGUGAAAAGCCAGAUCCUGACCAAACAUUUAAAUUCACAUCUUUACAGAACUUUAGCAACUGUCUGCCCAACUCUUGCACAACACAAGUACCUAAUCAUAGUUUAUCUCACAGACAGCCUGAGACAGUUCUUACGGAAACACCCCAGGACACAAUUGAAUUAAACAGAUUGAAUUUAGAAUCUUCCAAUUCAAAGUACUCCUUGAAUACAGAUUCCCCAGUGUCUUAUAUUGAUUCAGCUGUAAUUUCACCUGAUACUGUCCCACUGGGAACAGGAACUUCCAUAUUAUCUAAACAGGUUCAAAAUAAACCAAAAACUGGUCGAAGUUUAUUAGGAGGACCAGCAGCUCUUAGCCCAUUAACCCCAAGUUUUGGGAUUUUUGCCAUUAGAAACCCCAAGUCCUGGAGAUGGAUCCUAUUUACAAAACUACACUAACACACCUUUUGUAAUUGACGUGCCAUCCACCGGAGCCCCUUCAAAAAAGGUAUUUUCCAUGUAAAAUGCAGUUUGGGUAUUGAUUAAAGCAACUUGUUUAUUUUAAUCUUUCAGGUAAU
rnacentral:lncRNA from 1 species